rnacentral:rRNA from 1 species
CGGAAGGUGCGGGUGCUAGAAUGCAGUCGAACGAGAAACUUACUUAGCUUGCUUUGAAAGUUUCUAGUGGCGAACGGGUGAGUAACACGUGAGUUACCUGCCUCGAAGUGGGAGAUAGCCCGGGGAAACUCGGAUUAAUACCCCAUGUGAUCGUAAGAUUAAAGGCGGCUUCGGCUGUCGCUUCGAGAUGGGCUCGCGGCCUAUCAGUUAGUUGGUGAGGUAAAAGCUCACCAAGACGAUGACGGGUAGCUGGUCUGAGAGGACGACCAGUCACACUGGAACUGAGACACGGUCCAGACACCUACGGGUGGCAGCAGUCGAGAAUCAUUCGCAAUGGACGAAAGUCUGACGGUGCGACGCCGCGUGGAGGAUGAAGGCCCUAGGGUCGUAAACUCCUGUCAUCAGGGAGUAAUUACUUAUGUAGUAACUGACAUAGGUCUUGAUAGUACCUGAAGAGGAAGGGACGGCAAACUUCGUGCCAGCAGCCGCGGUAAUACGAAGGUCCCAAGCGUUGUUCGGAUUUACUGGGCGUAAAGCGUCUGUAGGCGGGAUGGUAAGUCAGAUGUGAAAUCCCGGGGCUCAACCCCGGAACUGCAUCCGAUACUGCCAACCUAGAGGGUCGGAGGGGAGUCUGGAAUUCUCGGUGUAGCAGUGAAAUGCGUAGAUAUCGAGAGGAACACUCGUGGCGAAGGCGAGACUCUGGACGACACCUGACGCUGAGAGACGAAGGCCAGGGUAGCGAAAAGGAUUAGAUACCCUUGUAGUCCUGGCAGUAAACGGUGCACGCUUGGUGUGGGAAGGUUCGACCCUUUCCGUGCCGGAGCUAACGCGUUAAGCGUGCCGCCUGGGGAGUACGGUCGCAAGAUUAAAACUCAAAGAAAUUGACGGGGACCCGCACAAGCGGUGGAGCAUGUGGCUUAAUUCGAUGCAACGCGAAGAACCUUACCUGGGCUUGACAUUUAGUCGUAGAUUUGUGAAAGCUUAUCGUCACUUCGGGUGACUAUCACAGUGCUGCAUGGCUGUCGUCAGCUCGUGUCGUGAGAUGUUGGGGUUAAGUCCCGUAACGAGCGCAACCCCUAUGAACUGUUGCCAGCGGAU